rnacentral:lncRNA from 1 species
ACUGUCCCCUUCUCAGUGAAUCUGAGCAGCAGCACCAGGGAGAAUGUGAGCAGCUGGCCUGCGGCCUCUUCUGGAAAUUCACAAAAACAGUAAUAGAAAGCAAGAGAUCUGAAGUUCUGUGUUCAUCCAUGAGGAUUCUCACACUCACGUCGCCGAGGGCUCGCUCCAGACAGGAAGCUAGUUUCAUCACGCCGAGGGAGACGGCAGCAGGCUGCGAGCUUUGCAAGGCAUCAAGUAUCUCAAGAAACAACUAUUCAGAGGAAGACACACACUCGAGCUCAGAUUCAGUGAAAGAUGUUUCUCAAAGCAACAAUAAUGUUUAUUCAAUUACUAUUUCCGCACUCAAGCCUCUUAAGAUUUGAAGGUUUAAAACUUUCGGAAUAAAAAGAGUUUAUAUUGGAAAUACUAUAAUAAAGGAAAUUAUCUAACACC